rnacentral:rRNA from 1 species
UACAGAGGGUGCAAGCGUUAAUCGGAUUUACUGGGCGUAAAGCGAGUGUAGGUGGCCACGUAAGUCGGUUGUGAAAUCCCUGGGCUCAACCUGGGAAUUGCAGCCGAUACUGCGUGGCUCGAGUUCGGUAGAGGGCAGCAGAAUUCCCGGUGUAGCGGUGGAAAUGCGUAGAUAUCGGGAGGAAUACCGAUGGCGAAGGCAACUGCCUGGGCCUGAACUGACACUGUGACUCGAAAGCGUGGGUAGCCAAACAGGG